rnacentral:rRNA from 1 species
GAUAAACGCUGGCGGCGUGCCUAACACAUGCAAGUCGAACGCCCUGGAGCAAUUCAGGGAGUGGCGGACGGGUGAGGAACACGUGGGUGAUCUACCUUGAGGUGAGGAAUACCGGCGAGAAAUCGCCGACAAUACCGCAUAGGUUCGUAAGAACAAAGUCGCAAGACGCCUUGAGAUGAGCCUGCGUCCGACUAGCCAGUUGGUGGGGUAAUGGCCUACCAAAGCAGCGACGGUAGCUGGUCUGAGAGGACGAUCAGCCACACUGGGAUUGAGAACGGCCCAGACUCCUACGGGGGGC